UACGGGGGGGGCAAGCGCUGUUCGGAAUUACUGGGCGUAAAGGGCUUGUAGGUGGCCGACUAAGUCAGACGUGAAAUCCCUCGGCUUAACCGGGGAACUGCGUCUGAUACUGGAUGGCUGGAGUGUGGGAGAGGGAUGCGGAAUUCCAGGUGUAGCGGUGAAAUGCGUAGAUAUCUGGAGGAACACCGGUGGCGAAGGCGGCAUCCUGGACCAUUACUGACACUGAAAAGCGAAAGCCAGGGGAGCAAACGGG
rnacentral:rRNA from 1 species